UAUAUAUAUAGAAAAAGAGGUUAAAAUCACACUAUGGAUGCUAAAUUAAUCAACCUCGAAUGUUUUAUCUAGAAAUAUAUUUUAUAUUUAGAUGACUAUCAAAAAUACAUAUUGAUUGGUGUUCUGUAACAUUAAAAUUUGGAUUUUGCUAUUUUUAAUUUUUCUUAAGGAAUAAAAAAUAUAGAGAUUUCACGGUUUUAUAUGUUUUAAUUAACUACAAUUAAUAUUAUUUUUAAAAAAUAAAAGUGAGGUAUUUAUUAUAAAAAUUAAUACACUAUUUAAAACAUUGUGAUUAUUGAAACAAAAAUACUAAUCAAAAUUUAUCGAAGAAAAUAAAUUAUUAUUAUUAAAAUAAGUCACUAAUAUAUAAUGAAAAAACAAAAACUAAUGUGAAAUUCUUUUUAUUAUUUUUGUGUUCCUGAAACUAAAACAUCAAAUAAAACCCGUGCAACGCACGGGUCCAUAUCUAGUAGAAAAUAAAUUAGACUGGUUUAGUAACUUUCUUGGUUUAUAAUUUUAUAUAAUUUGCCACAAUAUAAGUUCUGUCUCUAUACGUUGUUUUGGAUUAAAAGCUGUGGGCUGCUCUUGGAUUCCCUGGACUCUUAUAUUUCGGCCGAAUGAAUAAAAGAUUAUAUGAAACUAUGGGCUACUCUUUUUCAACUUUUUAACUUUUAUAUAUUCUGGAAAAAAUCAUAUCAUUGAUAAUGCAAAUAAAUCAAAUUUUAGUGAGUUGCAGAAGCUUUGAAGGCGGCAAAAGAGUGGCAGGAGUCUCUUCCUCCACGAAAACAAAACUCUGUUUCACCUAAAGAUCUUCAUGCUUCGAGCACAACUCCUAAGGUCCCGGAAAAUUCCUUUAUGUUGUUCUCGGAUGCGGCUUGGAAUUCUUCUUCUCUUGCAGGUGGACUCGGCUGGGUAUGUACAGAUUCGAGAGGCACACUCUGUUUCGAAGGAUCCGACAAUGGACGCUACAUUGUGUCAGCUCUUGCAGCAGAAGCCUUGGCUCUGCGUUCAGGCCUUUCGAAGGCUAUGUCCGUUGGAAUUAAAGACGUGGUCUAUUUCUCAGACUCUAAAAGUCUUAUCGAUUUAAACACAGGGAACAAAUCUGUGAUUGCACUGCGAGGGGUACUCCAUGAUAUAGGUUGGCAAAGAGCUCUCUGUUUCAGCUCACAAACAAUCUCUCUGAGAUUGGAAACGUUGUUAUGUUUUAAGAUAAUCUAAUGGAAAAAUGUUUGACCACGUGCGGAAAAUGAAAAUUUAAAAUAUACUUAUAUAUUUCAAACAAGAUACACAUCCUAUUUUAAAAAUGUAUAAAAAGAGAAUAAGAAAAUCAAUCAUUUAGAGAAUGGAAAUUAACAGAUUUUGUUAGGCCAAAUAGAAAAUGAUAAUUAGUUCUUUAAUUAAUUUGAUUAGAAUAUGGUUUAUCUUCCAAUUAAGCUAUUGCAUUGCAAUAAAUGAUUCUUAUUUGAAUAAGGCAAGUGGGACCGUAUCCAACGAGGAAAAGCCUCAAACACAGUCAGCAACACGUUUCAUGCGGCGACCCUGACAGUGAUGCAUAUAACGUUUUGUUUAAUUGAUAAUCAUAAAAUCAUAAUAUUUUCAUGAAAAAAUUACAUAAUAGAUCACAUUUACACUUAUUAAUAACACCAUAGGUCACUUUCUUCUACCCACACACUUUCUCUGGCUUUUUGUUCAGUUUUCGUUGUGGUUUACUAACCAAAACGUAACUAUAUUGCAAUUAGUGGGUCCCAAUUCUCCUCUUCUUCACAUCUUGUUUCUUUUCUUUUUCUUUUUUAGAUCUCCUCUGAAAUUUCGCCCGUGAAACCAUUGAUUUUAUAAUGAAUAUCCUCCACAUCAAUAAUUCUCUUUCUCCUCUAGAUCCAACCCUCGCCUCUUCAUCACAACUUCUCGAAUUAUCACUAUACUCCUCCACCAUUACUGCAUCUUCUAACGCCGCUGCAAUCAAUUUUUCGGAGAGCUUCGCCUCUUCCUCUCCCUGCUCAGCUCCUCCCUCAAAUAUCUCGUCGUUGUGAUGUCUCAUCCGCCUGUGGUCGUUGCUUUUCGUUGCGUCUCCUCGACAUAAGCUUCUCCACAUAUCAAGCCCAAGACCUCUCCACCUAUGGGUCAUGCUCUCAGCCUUCGCCGUCAUUGGAAUCAAGCCUCGCUGUGUCAUUGGAAUCAAGCCUCGCUGUCGUGUCUCUGCUCCGUCGUAGCCGGCUCGCCUUCGUCGUCUGUUAAAGGCAAGAAGAUCGCUCAAGCAACAUCAGUGGAGGAGUAUCAUCUUUUUGCACUUUUGGUCCUCUAGUUUUCUGCUUCUUUUACAAUAUACCUUAAACUUCCAAUCUUAUUAAAUUGCUUUAAAAAUUUACCGCAUUGUACAUGUGUACAUGUAAUUUUACUGAUCAUUGUGUACAUUAUACCUAUUGUACAUGUGUACACGUAAUUAGAAUAUAUAUCAAACAUGUGAGUAAAAAAUA